GACGAACGCUGGCGGCGUGCCUAAUACAUGCAAGUUGAGCGAUGAAGAUUGGUGCUUGCACCAAUUUGAAGAGCAGCGAACGGGUGAGUAACGCGUGGGGAAUCUGCCUUUGAGCGGGGGACAACAUCUGGAAACGAAUGCUAAUACCGCAUAACAAAUUUAAACAUAAGUUUUAAGUUUGAAAGAUGCAAUUGCAUCACUCAAAGAUGAUAUCGCGUUGUAUUAGCUAGUUGGUGAGGUAAAGGCUCACCAAGGCGAAGAUACAUAGCCGACCUGAGAGGGUGAUCGGCCAACUUUGGACUUGGACAACGCCCAAACUCCUACGGGGAGCAGCAAUAGGGGAUCUUCGGCAAUGGACGGAAGUCUGACCGAACAACGGCGCGUGAGGUAAGGAGGGUUUCGGAUCGUAAAACUCCGUUGGUAGGGAAGAACGUAAGGGAGAGUUGAAAGCUCAUCAAUUGACGGUAACUACCCAGAAAGGGACGGCUAACUACGUG
rnacentral:rRNA from 1 species